GAAAGCACUCCCAACAAAAACUUUCGAUCUAAUAUCAAAAUAGAGUCGUAACUAUAAUUUUCUCUCACAAACGGCACCAAAAAGCUCUCUAGAGGCAUACCCCUCGGUACCUGUUUAUAACCUCGACGUGGCUAUGCAAAGCCCACAUGUCUAGCAUGAAUUAGGACCCCCAAUCUCGUGGGAAACAUAUCCUUAUCCGUAACCUAACAUAUCUUUAUCUCUAAUACAACAGAUCUUCUCAAAUCAGGACUCUAUCCCAAUUCAACUCCAUAUCCCAUACGCACACAAUAUCUCUGUUGUAUGCCAUAUGGAAUCUUCACCAACCACGUGCAUUAAUCUUUAGCCUAAGUAUCCCGCAUGAUAUCUGAU
rnacentral:lncRNA from 1 species